CGAAGGUCCCUAAGCGUUAUCCGGAUUUAUUGGGUUUAAAGGGUGCGUAGGCGGCUUAUUAAGUCAGUGGUGAAAGCUCCAUGCUUAACAUGGAAAUUGCCAUUGAUACUGAUGAGCUUGAGUAUAUUUGAAGUGGGCGGAAUGUGUCGUGUAGCGGUGAAAUGCUUAGAUAUGACACAGAACACCGAUUGCGUAGGCAGCUCACUAAACUAUAACUGACGCUGAGGCACGAAAGCAUGGGGAUCAAACAGGAUUAGAUACCCUGGUAGUCCAUGCCCUAAACGAUGAUUACUCGAUGUGUGCGAUAUACUGUACGCGUCUGAGCGAAAGCAUUAAGUAAUCCACCAGGGGAGUACGGCCGCAAGGCUG
rnacentral:rRNA from 1 species